UACGUAGGUCCCGAGCGUUGUCCGGAUUUAUUGGGCGUAAAGCGAGCGCAGGUGGUUUAUUAAGUCUGGUGUAAAAGGCAGUGGCUCAACCAUUGUAUGCAUUGGAAACUGGUAGACUUGAGUGCAGGAGAGGAGAGUGGAAUUCCAUGUGUAGCGGUGAAAUGCGUAGAUAUAUGGAGGAACACCGGUGGCGAAAGCGGCUCUCUGGCCUGUAACUGACACUGAGGCUCGAAAGCGUGGGGAGCAAACAGG
rnacentral:ncRNA from 7 species